UUUAAGCUAGGAUGACCAGACCUCCCCGUUUUUCGGAGACAGCCCCCCACCCCACAACAUCUACCAGAUUUCAGCAGACGCCUCGCGUAUUGUUCUGUGGAUCACUUUAAGACGGGCUCAGGCCGAUAGCAGAGAAGUUGUAGAACACCUCUGGCGAUAGCUUUUCCAGUAUUUUGAUUAGUGGAGCAGGGGAACAACUUUUUAGUGGAGUGCUAGAAUCUUUGCCGAAAGUCAUCUAUUGAUCUUUGACAGAUCGCUUCAUCCGCUCUUGUACAGCAAUGUCCUCUCUGCAAUCGACGAGAUGACUAAAGCCAACACUGAAAUGAAUGCCGUGGCUGUUCAACAAAGAAUCAAGGCCGAUUUUGGUAUUGAACUGAGCUUAACAAGCAUACGCCGCGCUCGCAGACGAAUGGGUUGGAAAUUUUCCUCGACCCGUUUCUGUCCAAUGCUGAAAGAACGCAACAAAGAACGCAUGGGGAAUGAUUUCCCGAUAUGGAGCAGGUCCCCUUGUCAUUUUUGAGGGAAUAAUGGACAGAGAAUAUUUUGAGGAGACCAUCAUAAAAGAAUUUGCAGCACCAUACAUCAGGGAAUAUUUUGGGACUGAUCACCGCUUUUUCCAGGACAAUGACCCAAAGCACACCGCAGCUGCGGCUUACUUAGCAUCAGAGGGCAUCAACUGGGUUAAAAUUCCAGCAGAAUCACUGGACUUGAAUCCAAUCGAACUGGUUUGGCACGCCAUGAAGGACUAUAUCCGCAAAGACGCAAAGCCAGGUACAAAGCAGGAGCUUAUCAAAGCCAUGCAAGUGUUCUGGAACACAAAAGUGACUGUGGAUUUCUGCAACAGACUUAUAUCAGGUUUAUCAAAUGUAAUCAAUCUGGUUAUUAGCAACAAAGGAGGGCAUAGCGGGAAAUGAUACCCUGUCUUCAAAUAGCAUACUCAGUUGAAAUUUGUGAUUUGUGAUUACAUGUGCACCUUUUUAAUAAAAAAAAAAGGCACGAA